CUUACACAUGCAAGNNNNAACGAUGAACAAGAGCUUGCUCUUGGAAUUAGUGGCGCACGGGUGAGUAAUAUAUAGCUAACCUGCCCUUUAGUGGGGGACAACAGUUGGAAACGACUGCUAAUACCCCAUACUCCUUCUUACCAUAAGGUAAGUCGGGAAAGAUUUAUUGCUAAAGGAUGGGGCUGUACGGUAUCAGUUUGUUGGUGAGGUAACGGCUCACCAAGACUAUGACGCCUAGCUGGUCUGAGAGGAUGAUCAGCCACACUGGAACUGAGACACGGUCCAGACUCCUACGGGAGGCAGCAGUGGGGAAUAUUGCACAAUGGGGGCAACCCUGAUGCAGCAAUGCCGCGUGGGUGAAGAAGGUUUUCGGAUUGUAAAGCCCUUUUCUGCGAGAAGAGAGAGGACGGUAUCGCAGGAAUAAGUCCCGGCUAACUACGUGCCAGCAGCCGCGGUAAAACGUAGGGGGCGAGCGUUAUCCGGAAUUUAUUGGGCGUAAAGCGCAUGCCAGGCGGUUAUGGUAAGNAUAGACGUGAAAGCUUCCGGCUUAACUGGGAAAAGGUCGUUUGGGACUGNCCGAACNUUGAAUGGANGUAAAAGAAAAGGGGAA
rnacentral:rRNA from 1 species